CAACAGGGAUUGCCUCAGUAACUGCGAGUGAAGCGGCAAAAGCUCAAAUUUGAAAUCUGGCGUCUCUGACGUCCGAAUUGUAAUUUGGAGAGGCAACUUCGGUGAUGGCGCCGUCCUAAGUUCCUUGGAACAGGAUGACACAGAGGGUGAGAUCCCCGUACCUGGGUGGCUGUCCAUCGCCAUGUGAAGUGUCUUCGACGAGUCGAGUUGUUUGGGAAUGCAGCUCAAAAUGGGUGGUAAAUUUCAUCUAAAGCUAAAUAUUGGCGAGAGACCGAUAGCGCACAAGUAGAGUGAUCGAAAGAUGAAAAGCACUUUGAAAAGAGAGUUAAAAAGUACGUG
rnacentral:rRNA from 1 species